rnacentral:lncRNA from 1 species
GUCAGGCCUGGCUCUGACCAACAGACAGGAUACAAAGUAUUGAUCCUGGGCGUGUCUGUGAGGGUGUUGCCAAAGGAGAUUAACAUUUGAGUCAGUGGGCUGGGAGAGGCAGACCCACUCUUAAUCUGGGUGGUCACCACCUAAUCAGCUGCCAGCACAGCUAGAAUACAAAGCAGGCAGAAAAAUGUGAAAACAGAGACUGUCCUAGCCUCCCAGCCUCCAUCUUUCUCCCGUGCUGGAUGCUUCCUGCCCUCGAACAUCAGGCUCCAAGUUCUUCAGUUUUGGAACUCGGACUGGCUCUCCUUGCUCCUCAGACUGCAGACGGCCUAUUGUGGGACCUUAUGAUCAUGCAAAAGGACUUGUAAGUAUCAUGCUCUUUCUCUUCGAAGAGCUGGAGAAAUCAGAGGCUCUGAACCUCAUGGAAGAACGCACAGGCAAACCAGGCAAAAGCUGGAGUUUCAACUGCAGUCAGCCGGCCUUCACUUUAUCUUAUGCUGCCUUUGCCCUCCAGAGAGGUUUUGUUCCCAAAAAAUCUCCGAAAGGUGCCCAGCUAUGACAUCCAGCACUUCAUUUGUUGAUUCGAAGACCUGGGUUAAAAUACCAGCUCUGCCAUUUCAUUCAAGAUUCCCCUGAAUUCACAUUUAUUGGACACUAUGGCACUGUUUGGGUGAUGGAGAUACAGAGAGAAGCACAUGACGUAUGAUUCUUCAGGAGCUGCUGGGCUAGUGCUGGGAUGAUGGCAAACAUAUAAACCCUCGGCAGGGGAGGCAACAUGGGAGCUGUGUCCUUGGUGAUGGCAGGUAGUAAGGAAAGGGCAUUCAAGGGCCUGGUGCCUCCAGAGACGAGGAAGGGAGCCCGGGGCAUAUGGAGGGCCUGGAGAGGCUCAGGUCAGAGCUAAGACCAGAGGUACAGUGAGGCUAUGGUGUGGAAGGGACUUGAACACCAACCUAGGGGGAUUUGACUUGAUGCAGAAGGCAACUGGGAGCCACAUUGUUUCUAAGUCAGGGGAUGAACAUGCUCCGAUUGCUAUGGAAGAAUUUUCCAAGCAGCGCUAUUGAAAAGAGUGAUGGAGCCUGGAUGCAGGGAGACAUGGCAUCUGGAGGCUGCUGCAGCCCUUGGUGUGUAUACAGCUGGCGCUCACCUCUUCCCCUUCUUUGUUUCCUCCUCCCUUUCCUGAUUUUCCUCUAUCUCUUUCCUCUUCUUUACCUACUGCCCUCACUUUCUUCAUCAGUUACUUUCUCCUCCAUCCUUUCUUCCUGAAAGGGCCAGAAGCUCUAAUUGUGGACAGGCUAGAACAGAUCCUUUUGCCUCCUUUAGUAUUUCUACUUCGAGUAAAAAUGUCUGAUGAGACAGUG